UACAGGGGGGGCAAGCGUUGUUCGGAAUUACUGGGCGUAAAGGGUUCGUAGGUGGCUCACUAAGUCACACGUGAAAUCCCUCAGCUUAACUGGGGAACUGCGUGUGAAACUGGAGAGCUUGAGGGUAGGAGAGGAAUGCGGAAUUCCAGGUGUAGCGGUGAAAUGCGUAGAUAUCUGGAGGAACACCGGUGGCGAAGGCGGCAUUCUGGACUAUUUCUGACACUGAAGAACGAAAGCCAGGGGAGCAAACGGG
rnacentral:rRNA from 1 species